CGGGCAGCUGAGCAGUGGCGAGGCUUCGGGUGAAAACCUCACGGGACUUGGGUAGCUCCUUGAUGUCCAGAUCUGCCCUGAGGUGCACUCGGACAAUGAUUUCCAGGUGGAGGAUGCAAAGAACGGGAAGUUAACCAAGAGACAGCAAACAAUAAACGUGCUCAGCCACUGUACUUGUCUGCAUGAAAGUUGGGAAUCCUAAGUGACCCACGUUUGUGUUUGCACCAGCAGCACCAUGGUCUCCAGUACAUGCCAGAAGCAGGAGGUGCUUAGCAGGUGGAAGACUGGCUCCCUUCAGCAGGGCCUGUCCUGUGGCUGAUGGGUGAUGGGUGAUUCUGAUGGGUGAGCUGCCUGAGAAAUCAGCAUUGGUCUGAGCUGCAGAAUCUUCAUUUCCAAAAUUUGUUUCUGCAUAUUUGCUGAAUUACAGAAGCAGAAACCUUCCUAACCAGGACUCUUCUCAUGACUGAGUGCAAGGAUUGGGACAGCACAAGUCAAGCCCGUUCAGUGUUACCAAAUGGUCAGCCACCCCAUAUUUUUCAGUUUCCUUGUUUAGAAACAUAUCUAGUUUCCUCUGCACCCCUUAAAGCUCCUCGCUUCCAAGACCAGUGUGGUGAUGCAGGAAAGAAUGGUGACCAUGGAAUGCUUAUAAAGUUGGCAAAGGCGGGAAGUCAAACUGAGUCAAGUGAUCCCCAUUCCUUAAAAUGGCCCACCACCCCAACAGACCUCAGUCCAGACCAACAGUGGACCUCAGAAUGGAAUAACUGCUGUGCUGCAUUUCCCAGCUGUGACUCAGGCGCUGUGGGAUGUUUCGCGUUGCUUCCCGACAUGCAGAGAUGCUCACCUUUCCCGUGAGGAUGCUGCACGUAGACUUUUCCUGCUUUGCGGAAGCGUAGUUGUAUCUGAACGCUGACUUAUUUCUUUGUGACUAAUGAGCCUGCAUGAAAGCAUUGGAUAGUCUCGAAUGGGCAGGUGUAUUAUACUCCGUGUUAAGAAAUUUGUUUUGUUCAGCUGUAUGUCAAACGUGAUUUGUAGCUGGGCUGUGGAAUCAAUCCAAAAGGAUAAAUUUGCUUACCAAAGGUUGCUGUCAAGCUCUACCGUGCUGAAGCUCCAGCUUACAGAAGGCAGCGUCUUCCAACAAAAGGGUUUCAGCCAAAUAAAUGGAGCUUAGAGAAAAUGCAAUGUUACAGCUGAAGUACCGGGAUAAUUGAGCCUGUAACAUCUGCUGAAAUGUAGUGACACCAAAAAUAAACACUUCUGCCCAUGUUGCUAUUCCCUGGUACAGCAGUGUAUAAACAUGUGAUGCGACCCCAGCACAUCAGGGAAUGUGGGAACAGACUGGUGUUGCCAUCAUAAGUACCCUUCCCCUGUCAAGGAAGGAGCUUUCCGAGCACAGCUGUAAUAAGGACAUUGCUUGGGUUGCUUUCCAGCAGCUUUUAUGAGAAGGGAAAAGGGAUCAUGUGCUUAAUUAGCCCCUUUAGUAAGAGGUGUUCUUGUGUAUGUUUUGCAGCUGGAACAAAGGGCCAGGGUGAGGGUGUUUGCUUGAUUUUUCCCUUAAAGAGAGAAAAUGUAUGAAAUCGUUCCUGGAUGGAAAAUAGGGAAAAAAAAAAUAGCAAAAAUCUUUUGUCUGUUAUAAG
ensembl:lncRNA